rnacentral:lncRNA from 1 species
CCUUUUGUCUCUUAAUCAAAAAUUGCAGCCGGGAAGCUCCCUCUACUGGCCAACGGGGAUUUUUCCCAAAGAGGCUCUCUAAUCCAGGGGUCGGCAACCUUUCAGAAGUGGUGUGCCAAGUCUUCAUUUAUUCACUCUGAUUUAAGGUUUCGUGUGCCAGUAAUACAUUUUAACGUUUUUAGAAGGUCUCUUUCUAGAAGUCUAUAAUAUAUAACUAAACUAUUGUAUGUAAAGUAAAUAAGGUUUUUAAAAUGUUUAAGAAGCUUAAUUUAAAAUUAAAUUAAAAUGCAGAUCCCCUGAACCAGUGGCUAGGACCCGGGCAGUGUGAGUGCCACUGAAAAUCAGCUCUAGUGUCGCCUUUGGCACACGUGCCAUAGGUUGCCUACCCCUGCACUAAUCCCAAUCUAAAUUAUUUCCCCUGAUACCAUACACCAGAAUAUGGAUUACAUUUUAAUAGUGAUUCUCAUGGACUGACUCCCUCUUGUGCAGGUCACUGACCCUUCCAUUUGUGAUCACAUAACAUCACUGUGGUAAUUACAGUAAUUGCUUAAGUGGAAAAGUAAUAUUAGAACCAUAAUUUAUUUUGAGCUAUCUUUUAAUACAGUGUAGCUCCUGGAUCCGUGGAGGAAAAACCAGUGCCAUCUGCCCAGUAAGUGCUCCACAAAUCACAACUGGAGAACCCCUGCUGUACUUGGUCCUGAUAUCGCUCUAAUGUUACAAAGGAAGAAGUUAGAGGACUCCGAAUUCAGAGAUUUAAAUAUCGUCCUGGAUGUGGUGGUAGAAUUAUAUUCCAUGAGUAGUGGGAUAAAAUUGGACGGAUGGUAAUUAAUGUUCACUCAUUCACAAUUGCGGUGAUAUUCCUUUAAUCCACAGAAGCCCAUAAUGUGAAAUUGGUUAUUCUAAAACCCUCAGACGUGUGUUUGUAUAAACAUAUCCAAAUUGCCACCUCUCUAAAUAACUCUUCUUUUCAUAAAGCUGUAGCCAUUCCAGAUAUUGCAUGUUAAACCUGCAGAUACCAUUGAUGACUGUAAUAAGAUCUAACAUGUUGAUAGUUCUUUGUAUCUUCAAAGUGCUCCAUAAACACACACAUUAAAAUUCACACCAUCCCUCUGAGGUGGGUAAAUAUCCUCAUUCUACAAAUAGCGGAAACCAAUUGUAACUCAUUCAAAACCACAGGCUGUCAUCGUCACAACUAAUACUAGACUCAUCUCCAACUACUUCACCACACUAAGUGACUGGAUAACAAGGAAAAUGCUUCAGGUGACAAGGGAAGACGCAGCAUUUCUCUGCACAGACAGGAUUUUCAAAGUCAUUUGUGUCACUACAUGGUAAUAAGGGAGAAUGAUCCGUUUCUUGUAGCAAUUGGCUGGCAAUUGUGAUUGAUUUUUAAACAUCUUGUAAAUGUGCCCAAUGUUACCAUGGACCCA